AGGGAAUUCUCUUGUGACUUCGAAGAUAAGGCUUUCUUGGACUUGUUUUUCACUUGUGAUGGUGAUAAGCUCCACAACCCUGCCUAUGACCCUUUAAAUCUAAUUUGAAUAAGAAAAGAAAUAAGCUUAGAACGAAUUGGGUUUUUCUUUCAAAGAGGGAAGAAACCAUGCCCAGCGGCUUUUGUGUGUAUUUCCUUUAGCUCCCUAUUUAAUAAACGUUUCCCAGUGGAUGCAUGUGUGAAAACACACACACACACACGCAUCCACAAACAUAAAAACGAACCAAGAACUAUAGUGCAGAGUCGGUUGCUACUGUUUGCUAGCAUUUUUCUUCAUUUUUCCUGAUUUCUUUAUGUUUUCUUUUCCAUCAAGAGUCUCCUGAUUGUAGUUCUGAAAACUGCCAAGCUUUCAGCAGCCAAGUGGCCCGUGUUUUCACUGCAACUAGAAUGUGACCUCCAACCUUCGGUUUCCUUCUCUGUUAG
rnacentral:lncRNA from 1 species